CGCUGGCGGCGUGUUUAAUACAUGGAAGUAGAACGAGAAAGUGGAGCAAUCCAUGAGUACAGUGGCGACCGGUUGACUAACACGUGACUAACCUACCCUCGAGUGGGGAAUAACUCCGGGAAACCGGAGCUAAUACCGCAUAACAUCGCAAGAUCAAAGCAGCAAUGCGCUUGAGGAGGGGGUCGCGGCUGAUUAGCUAGUUGGUAGGGUAACGGCCUACCAAGGCGAAGAUCGGUAUCCGGCCUGAGAGGGCGCACGGACACACUGGAACUGAAACACGGUCCAGACUCCUACGGGAGGCAGCAGUGGG
rnacentral:rRNA from 1 species